rnacentral:rRNA from 1 species
CACACCGCCCGUCACACCAUGGGAGUUUGUUGCACCAGAAGCAGGUAGCUUAACCGCGAGGGGGGCGCUUGCCACGGUGUGGCCGAUGACUGGGGUG